GACGAACGCUGGCGGCGUGCUUAACACAUGCAAGUCGAACGGAAAGGCCCUGCUUUUGUGGGGUGCUCGAGUGGCGAACGGGUGAGUAACACGUGAGUAACCUGCCCUUGACUUUGGGAUAACUUCAGGAAACUGGGGCUAAUACCGGAUAGUAGCUCCUGCUGCAUGGUGGGGGUUGGAAAGUUUCGGCGGUUGGGGAUGGACUCGCGGCUUAUCAGCUUGUUGGUGGGGUAGUGGCUUACCAAGGCUUUGACGGGUAGCCGGCCUGAGAGGGUGACCGGCCACAUUGGGACUGAGAUACGGCCCAGACUCCUACGGGAGGCAGCAGUGGGGAAUAUUGCACAAUGGGCGGAAGCCUGAUGCAGCAACGCCGCGUGCGGGAUGACGCCUUCGGGUUGUAAACCGCUUUCGCCUGUGACGAAGCGUGAGUGACGGUAAUGGGUAAAGAAGCACCGGCUAACUACGUG
rnacentral:rRNA from 1 species